rnacentral:rRNA from 1 species
GAGUUUGAUCAUGGCUCAGAUUGAACGCUGGCGGCAUGCCUUACACAUGCAAGUCGAACGGCAGCACGGGAGCUUGCUCCUGGUGGCGAGUGGCGAACGGGUGAGUAAUGCAUCGGAACGUAUCCUGGAGUGGGGGAUAACGUAGCGAAAGUUACGCUAAUACCGCAUAUUCUGUGAGCAGGAAAGCGGGGGACCUUCGGGCCUCGCGCUCUUGGAGCGGCCGAUGUCGGAUUAGCUAGUUGGUGAGGUAAAGGCUCACCAAGGCGACGAUCCGUAGCAGGUCUGAGAGGAUGAUCUGCCACACUGGAACUGAGACGCGGUCCAGACUCCUACGGAGGCAGCAGUGGGGAAUUUUGGACAAUGGGGGCAACCCUGAUCCAGCCAUGCCGCGUGAGUGAAGAAGGCCU